GCAGAACGCGAAGAACCUUACCAAGGCUUGACAUCCCCUUGACCGGCACAGAGAUGUGCCCUCUCCUUCGGGAGCAAGGGUGACAGGUGGUGCAUGGUUGUCGUCAGCUCGUGUCGUGAGAUGUUGGGUUAAGUCCCGCAACGAGCGCAACCCUUAUCCUUAGUUGCCAUCAUUAAGUUGGGCACUCUAAGGAGACUGCCGAUGAUAAAUCGGAGGAAGGUGGGGAUGACGUCAAAUCAUCAUGCCCCUUAUGUCUUGGGCUACACACGUGCUACAAUGGUCGGUACAAAGGGCAGCGAAGGAGUGAUCUGGAGCGAAUCCCAAUAAACCGAUCUCAGUUCGGAUUGUAGGCUGCAACUCGCCUACAUGAAGUCGGAGUUGCUAGUGAUCGCGAAUCAGAACGUCGCGGUGAAUGCGUUCCCGGGUCUUGUACACACCG
rnacentral:rRNA from 1 species